UAUUUUUUUAUAGGGAUACAAACUUCUUUGUUUUACUGCAGGUUUUAUCAUUAGAACAAAGUACUCUUAAACCUUAUUAAGAUUUUAUAUACUACUGUAGUAAUGAAUAUCAUGCUCAUCUGUAAGAGGAUUCUUUUAUUUUGUGGGCCUUAUGAAAGAAAAAUGUUUUAAGAUAUGCAUCCUGGCAAAUGCAUUGAUACUGCAGAGUAUAAUUCUUAUUAAAGACUUGUGAAUAUAAGAGAAAAGCACACACUGCUUUAUAACUUCAAAGAGCACAUCAGUAGGAGGACUUGCUUAAACUAUGAUGUAAGAGUGACUGACUUAAUUUUAUCAAAUGAUUCCUAACUUGCCAGAAAGCUUUGCAUUAAAUUAUCAAAUGAUUUGUAACUUGCCAGGAAGCUUUGCAUUAAAUCUGUACAACAAUUAGAUUGUCUGUAAUGUUAGUUUGUCUGUCCAUAAGCUGUGACUUCUGUAUUUGCUACUACCUGACACACAACAGAUACUCUAUAUUUGGAAUGUAUUUUUUUUAUAUUAAAGAUAUUCUUUAAUUGAGAAGACUCCAUGUAAAGUAUGUACAGGGUCUUUGAAAUUACAAUUGCUGAGGAGUAAAUAAGCAGAAAUGUUCUUAGGUUCUAAGAUUUAACCAAAUCACAAAGGUUCUUUGAUAUAUCCAUAGUCAUUGAUUCACAUUAUUUGUUACAAUAUAAUUCUUUUUCUAUUGAGGUACCAGUAAAAUAAAUAGUACUUUAAUAAUAACCCAUAAUAAUUAAGAUGUUUGAGAGAAGAGCCUUGGAUAUUGAUAUUGAAUGCAACAGCACACAAGCAUAAUAAAAAUACUGAAGUACCUUGUGUACUACAUGAA